GCGUGCGCAGUUUCCGUAGCAAUACGGGGAUGGGCGCACGGCGCACGGGUGCGUAACACGUGGGCAAUCUGCCCUCCGAUGGGGAAUAACCCCGCGAAAGCGGGGCUAAUUCCGCAUAACAUUCCGGGGACCUAGGUUCCUGGAUUCAAAGCAGUGAUGCGUCGGAGGAGGAGCCCGCGCCCGAUUAGCUAGUUGGUGAGGUAACGGCUCACCAAGGCAAUGAUCGGUAGCUGGUCUGAGAGGAUGGCCAGCCACACUGGAACUGAGACACGGUCCAGACUCCUACGGGAGGCAGCAGUGGGGAAUCUUGCGCAAUGGGCGAAAGCCUGACGCAGCGACGCCGCGUGGGGGAUGAAGCUUCUCGGAGUGUAAACCCCUUUCGACUGGGACGAAUGCCCGCAAGGGAGUGACGGUACCAGUAGAAGAAGCCCCGGCUAACUACGUG
rnacentral:rRNA from 1 species